rnacentral:rRNA from 1 species
GACGAACGCUGGCGGCGUGCUUAACACAUGCAAGUCGAACGGAAAGGCCCUGCUUUUGUGGGGGGCUCGAGUGGCGAACGGGUGAGUAACACGUGAGUAACCUGCCCUUGACUUUGGGAUAACUUCAGGAAACUGGGGCUAAUACCGGAUAGGAGCUCCUGCUGCAUGGUGGGGGUUGGAAAGUUUCGGCGGUUGGGGAUGGACUCGGGGCUUAUCAGCUUGUUGGUGGGGUAGUGGCUUACCAAGGCUUUGACGGGUAGCCGGCCUGAGAGGGUGACCGGCAACAUAGGGGCUGAAAUGCGGCCCAGACUCCAUCUGGAGGCAGAAGUGGAGAAUAAUGCACAAUGGGCGGAAGCCUGAUGCAGCAACGCCGCGUGCGGGAUAGAGGCCUUCAGGUUGUAAACCGCUUUCGCCUGUAACGAAGCGUGAGUGACGGUAAUGGGUGAAGAAGCCCCGGCUAACUACGUG